rnacentral:rRNA from 1 species
AGGACGAACGCUGGCGGCGUGCUUAACACAUGCAAGUGGAGCGACGAACCGGGGCUUGCCCCGGGGCAGAGCCGCGAACGGGUGAGUAACACGUGGGUUACCUGCCUUGAUGACCGGGACAACCCGAGGAAACUCGGGCUAAUACCGGAUGUGCCCGCAAGGGGAAAGGAAGCUUCGGCCUCCGCAUCAAGAUGGGCCCGCGGCCCAUUAGCUUGUUGGUGAGGUAACGGCUCACCAAGGCUUCGAUGGGUAGCUGGUCUGAGAGGAUGAUCAGCCACACUGGGAUUGAGAACGGCCCAGACUCCUACGGGGGGCAGCAGUGAGGAAUUUUCGUCAAUGGGGGCAACCCUGAACGAGCAACGCCGCGUGCAGGAUGACGCUUUUCGGAGUGUAAACUGCUUUUCGUCGGGGAAGAGCAAGGACGGUACCCGAGGAAUCAGCCCCGGCUAACUACGUGCCAGCAGCCGC